rnacentral:rRNA from 1 species
AUUGAACGCUGGCGGCAGGCCUAACACAUGCAAGUCGAGCGGAUGAAGAGAGCUUGCUCUCUGAUUCAGCGGCGGACGGGUGAGUAAUGCCUAGGAAUCUGCCUGGUAGUGGGGGACAACGUUUCGAAAGGAACGCUAAUACCGCAUACGUCCUACGGGAGAAAGCAGGGGACCUUCGGGCCUUGCGCUAUCAGAUGAGCCUAGGUCGGAUUAGCUAGUUGGUGAGGUAAUGGCUCACCAAGGCGACGAUCCGUAACUGGUCUGAGAGGAUGCUAAGUCACACUGGAACUGAGACACGGUCCAGACUCCUACGGGAGGCAGCAGUUGUGAAUAUUGGACAAUGGGCGAAAGCCUGAGCCAGCCAUGCCGCGUGUGUGAAGAAGGUCUUCGGAUUGUAAAGCACUUUAAGUUGGGAGGAAGGGCAGUAAGUUAAUACCUUGCUGUUUUGACGUUACCGACAGAAUAAGCACCGGCUAACUCUGUGCCAGCCGCCGCCGUAACAC